UGAAUGGGCUAGGGGCCUCACCAGGUUACCGAACUCAAUCAAACUAAGAAUGCUAUUACUGUAAUCCAAGGAGUCAGACUACGGGGGAUAAGCUCCGUGGUCAAAAGGGAAAGAGCCCAGACCGUCAGCUAAGGUCCCUAAUGACAAACUAAGUGGGAAAGGAUGUGGAAACACUUAAACAGCCAGGACGUUGGCUUAGAAGCAGCAACCGUUUAAAGAGUGCGUAAUAGCUCACUGGUCUAGUAUUUCCGUGCCGAUAAUGUAACGGGGCUAAGUUUGUAACCGAAGCUACGGAUUGUAAAUUUAUUUGCAAUGGUAGAGGAGCGUUCUCUGUGGAUUGAAGCUGUACCGUAAGGAGCAGUGGACUGCAGAGAAGUGAGAAUGCAGGUAUGAGUAACGAUAAACAACGUGGGAAACGUUGUCGCCGAAAACCCAAGGUUUCCUGGGGAAGGUUAAUCCGCCCAGGGUAAGUCGGCCCCUAAGCCGAGGCUGAGAAGCGUAGGCGAUGGGAAGCAGGGAGGAAGAUUCCUGCACCACUAUAACGUCGUUUGUACGAUGGGGUGACGUGGAAAGAUAUGUGCGCGCACUGUUGGUGUUGCGUCUAAGCGUGUAGAAGGACUUCUAGGCAAAUCCGGAAGUCAUUAAACUUCAAGGCGUGAUGGGGAGCUCAAUUGCGAGCGAAGGCACAGACUCUAUGCCACCAAGAAAAACCUCUAAGGAGAUGUUAUGGUGACCGUACCCCAAACCGACACAGGUGGGUGAGAAGAGAAUUCUAAGGCGCUCGAGAGAACUCUUGCUAAGGAACUCGGCAAAAUGACCCCGUAACUUAGGGAUAAGGGGUGCCCCUUUUGGUGAAAGAGCUUGCCUCUGGAGCUUAGGGGGGCCGCAGUGACUUGGCCCAAGCGACUGUUUAUUAAAAACAUAGGACUCUGCUAAAUCGAAAGAUGAUGUAUAGGGUCUGACGCCUGCCCGGUGCCGGAAGGUUAACAGGAAAUGUUAUGCGCAAGCAGAAGCAUCGAAUCGAAGCCCCGGUAAACGGCGGCCGUAACUAUAACGGUCCUAAGGUAGCGAAAUUCCUUGUCGGGUAAGUUCCGACCUGCACGAAUGGCGUAACGAUUUGGGCACUGUCUGCAGCAAGAGACUCGGUGAAAUUGUGUGACCGGUGAAAACGCCGGUUACCCGCAGCAAGACGGAAAGACCCCGUGAACCUUUACUAUAGCUUAAUAUUGAAUUUUGGCAAAACACGCAUAGGAUAGGUGGGAGACUUUGAUAACUGGGCGCUAGUUCAGUUGGAGUCAUCCUUGGAAUACCACCCAUGUUUUGUUAAGAUUCUAACCCAGGCCCGUUAUCCGGGUCGGGGACAGUGUUUGGUGGGUAGUUUGACUGGGGCGGUCGCCUCCUAAAUUGUAACGGAGGCGCCCAAAGGUUCCCUCAACAUGGUCGGACAUCAUGUGUAGAGUGCAAAGGCAAAAGGGAGCUUGACUGCGAGACUUACAAGUCGAGCAGGUGCGAAAGCAGGGCUUAGU
rnacentral:rRNA from 1 species